rnacentral:lncRNA from 1 species
UUUUGGGCUAUUGUAGUUAUAACAAUUUUCUAUGGGCUAGUUUGGUUAUUUUGAUAGGUUUACGAGCUAGUUCCGUUCUUUUCAUCAUUUUAUGGACCUUUAAUAAACGACAACGUAAGAAAAUGAAAUUAACCAAUAAGCAUUUGUGUUCCAAAAAAAAAAAACCAAUAAGCAUUCACCACGUGUUUUCAUCUCAGAGAA